AACGCAUAUUGCGCCCACUGGUAUUCCGGUGGGCAUGCCUGUCCGAGCGUCAUUAGAACCCUUCAAGCUCUGCUUGGCCUUGGGACCUGCUAUAAUAGCAGUCUUUAAAAUCAUCCGCAGUGUUAUUUCACCCUAAGCGUAGUAAUUCUCCUCGCUAUAGGGCUUAAAUGGGCACUUGUUAGAACCACUAAUUUUUUUAAGGUUGACCUCGGAUCAGGUAGGGAUACCCGCUGAACUUAA
rnacentral:misc_RNA from 1 species